AAUUAUUUAAAUAGUAUAACUAUUAUAUUUGAUUUCCAAUCAAAUGAUCUCAUAAGAGUUUAAAUA
rnacentral:tRNA from 1 species